CACCACAGGCGGCAUCGCCCGUGGUGGAAAGGCUUCGGUCGGAGGAGGACGGGCAUGCGUCCCAUUAGCUGGUUGGCGGGGCGACGGCCCACCAAGGCUACGAUGGGUAGGGGAUCUGAGAGGACGGUCCCCCACACUGGUACUGAGACACGGACCAGACUCCUACGGGAGGCAGCAGUAAGGAAUAUUGGGCAAUGGGGGGAACCCUGACCCAGCCAUGCCGCGUGAGGGAAGUAGGCCCUACGGGUCGUGAACCUCUUUUGCCCGGGGACAAGGACGCGCACGGGAUGCGCGUUUGCGGGUACCGGGCGAAUAAGCAUCGGCUAACUCCGUGCCAGCAGCCGCGGUAAUACGGAGGAUGCGAGCGUUAUCCGGAUUCAUUGGGUUUAAAGGGUGCGCAGGCGGCUGCCUAAGUCAGCGGUGAAAGCCAGGGGCCCAACCCCGGAAGUGCCGUUGAUACUGGGUGGCUGGAAUGCGGUCGAGGCGGGCGGAAUGUGGCGUGUAGCGGUGAAAUGCGUAGAUAUGCCACAGAACGCCGAUAGCGAAGGCAGCUCGCCAGGCCUGCAUUGACGCUCGGGCACGAAAGCGUGGGGAUCGAACAGGAUUAGAUACCCUGGUAGUCCACGCCGUAAACGAUGGACGCUCGUCGUCGGCGACAUAGUGUCGGCGGCCAAGCGAAAGUGAUAAGCGUCCCACCUGGG
rnacentral:rRNA from 1 species